rnacentral:rRNA from 1 species
UGGGUUAGGGGAGCAGGGCGUGUGGCACAUGUGAGGCCAGGGGAGUAGGGCGUGCUUGGGAUCCUCUCUCUCUAUCCUUCUACUCUCCCUCUCUUUCCCCUCUCCUCUCCUCUCCCUCCAGGCCGUCACAAACGGAGGGCCUGGUCGGCGGCACCCAAAGGUGCCCCUUCCUCGUCGCUGCCCCCAUCCGGGGUCCACCUCGUGUGAAGUACCCCUCCGUUCCUUGAUCCUCCACUACCCCAGCCUAGACCACCACGAUCCAGCCUCGCGGAGGAGAGGAAAGGGGUCGGCGGUGGCCGGUGGAGGGUCGGGAGGAGGAGGCGGAGCAGCGGAGCGGUGGAACUCGAACGUCGCUCGCGAGACGAGACCGCCGCCGCCACCGGAGAACACCGCCUCGUCCUCCCCCGGAGAACACCGCCUCGUCCUCCCCCUUCUGCCACCGUCGCGCGGGAGACCACCGCCUCCUCCUCCUCCUCCCUCUACCACCGCCGACGCGAACAAGUCCCCGAGCGAGUUCCACGAGCUCGGGCUGUAGGUCGUGCGGUUGUUGGACCGGCGGGGCACGGAGAAGGAGAAGGAGGACGUCGCCUGGCUGACGUCGGAGCGGCCGCGGGAGCCGGAGGAGUCCUAGGGGUAGAUGUUCCGAUGAGGGGGUUACCACUUUUAGGGGAUGUCUUACCACGACCUACAGGAAAAUCUUAGAAACCCGGACGGUCGCCGACUCAUAGCUUGGUUUCGUACGCUCCCACCAAACUUCAAUGCUUCUUGGGGUAAAAGUAAGUCUAUACGUGCGGAAAAACAGUAGGUUUCAGAAACGUAAAUCCAAAUAUAAUAACUAAACCCAAAUCAACAACUCUAGUUUUGACAUUAGAACGUACAUCUAACCUGUCUAAUUAAGAGUGAAACUCCUGAGGCAAAACAAGUAGCCUUACAAAAAAGUUCACAGAGUUCUUGAAGCGAUACUACAAAAAGUUCACGGAAAGGUACAGAAGAAUAAAACGAUUAAGCCUCAGCUCAUCUCUAUAAUAUGAGGUGGUAAAGAAGACAACAUUUAUUAAUAGGGAAGAUGAAGUAACAGAAUCAAAAACAUAUCUAUUGUGUGUGGAUAAGGAAACAAGACUGUCCACAAGCAAGUUAAGUACACGAACCCUAAACAAAGCUAACUACCUGGAGUUUCGACUACGUUAUUACGUACUUGAACGGUUUUCCUCCAAAUCGUCCAGACUGAAUACCAGAUUCAACUACCACAAAUCGUUAUAACCAAGCUAGGUACGUCUCCAGGAGCGGCAGCAACGUCACCGCCCUGUUCUGCCGCUCCUCGGAGGAGGAGGAGCGCCGCCGACCGACAAUUUAGAAAGCAAAACAAAAGUAAAACGGUUUCCACUAACCUAUUUCAAGACAUGACUAUCAGGCUUUGAAACACCAGCGGGUCCGAUACGUCGGAAAUUAGUAUAAAUUGUAGCAGUACCAGAGACCUGUUUGUUCGAACUCCUCCGGUAACAAACCACGUCGGGUGCUACUGUUGAUGUGGUAACUGGUGACUUCGUUCCAGGAAUAUACCAGUGACUUCUUUGCGCAACAGUAUAAAAAAGGCUGCCUUACCGUGAAAAGAACUUAGAUACGGUCACAGAUAACAUUAAAUUAUAGUAGGGAUCCUGUUUGUACUAAGACACAACGGCAAGAAAUAGAGAUAACAACUUAGGUUUAAUGAUUACACUGUACUAUUGUAUAUACUACGCCACCUGUCAUAACGAUUCUUCACGUGCCUGUGUCACGAAAUAGUACAGAACUCAUGUAAAAUAAAUAACACAACGGGUACACAUGUUGAUGAACCCAAUAGAUUAACGUCUGAGUUGAUAACAUUCAUUGAUUACUAGAUUAUACAAUGUAAGAAUGUAAUAAUUCG